rnacentral:rRNA from 1 species
AAACGACUCUCGGCAACGGAUAUCUCGGCUCUCGCAUCGAUGAAGAACGUAGCGAAAUGCGAUACUUGGUGUGAAUUGCAGAAUCCCGUGAACCAUCGAGUUUUUGAACGCAAGUUGCGCCCCAAGCCUUUUGGCCGAGGGCACGUCUGCCUGGGUGUCAC